UGGGGAAUAUUGGGCAAUGGGCGCAAGCCUGACCCAGCAACGCCGCGUGAAGGAAGAAGGCUUUCGGGUUGUAAACUUCUUUUAUUCGGGACGAAGAAGUGACGGUACCGAAUGAAUAAGCCACGGCUAACUACGUGCCAGCAGCCGCGGUAAUACGUAGGUGGCGAGCGUUAUCCGGAUUUACUGGGUGUAAAGGGCGUGUAGGCGGGGAAGCAAGUCAGAUGUGAAAACCACGGGCUCAACCUGUGGCCUGCAUUUGAAACUGUUUUUCUUGAGUACUGGAGAGGCAGACGGAAUUCCUAGUGUAGCGGUGAAAUGCGUAGAUAUACGGAGGAACACCAGUGGCGAAGGCGGCCUGCUGGACAAUAACUGACGCUGAGGCGCGAAAGCGUGGGGAGCAAACAGGAUUAAAUACCC
rnacentral:rRNA from 1 species